rnacentral:rRNA from 1 species
UCGAGAAUUUUUCACAAUGGGCGCAAGCCUGAUGGAGCGACGCCGCGUGGGGGAUGAAUGGCUUCGGCCCGUAAACCCCUGUCAUUUGCGAUCAACCGUUAUUAUUUAAAAGAUGAUGACCUGAUAGUAGCGACAGAGGAAGGGACGGCUAACUCUAUGCCAGCAGCCGCGGUAAUACAGAGGUCCCAAGCGUUGUUCGGAUUCACUGGGCGUAAAGGGUGCGUAGGUGGCGAGGUAAGUCGGAUGUGAAAUCUCCAAGCUUAACUUGGAAAAUGCAUUGGAAACUACCUUGCUCGAGGGUUGUAGGGGGGACUGGAAUACUUGGUGUAGCAGUGAAAUGCGUAGAUAUCAAGUGGAACACCAGUGGCGAAAGCGAGUCCCUGGACAACUCCUGACACUGAGGCACGAAAGCUAGGGGAGCAAACA